rnacentral:lncRNA from 1 species
AUGAAGCUGGGUGGCCUCUGCCUCCUGCUCCUCCUCGCCGUCCUUCUCACCCUCAAUGCAGAGUUCCAAGCAGUUGAUGUAGGUAUCUGUGUGACGGAGUGCAAGGUAGACCAGGACUGUGGGGCAGGAAGACGAUGCACCAGCAAUGGAUGUGGCCGGGUCUGCUCCCCAGUCCGGCGAAGAGAGGCCUGCGAGCACCAGUGCAGAGAAGACAGGGACUGUGGGAGUGGACAUCAGUGCGUGAGGAAGGGCUGUGGGCACGUCUGCGCCCCCGUCCAUCAAGUCGAUGUAGGUAUCUGUGUGAUGGAGUGCCGUGUAGACCAGGACUGUGGGGAAGGAAGACUAUGCAUCAGUAAUGGGUGUGGCCGUGUCUGCUUCCCAGUCCGGCGAAGAGAGGCCUGCGAGCACCAAUGCAGAGAAGACAAGGACUGUGGGAGUGGACAUCAGUGCGUGAGGAAGGGCUGUGGGCACGUCUGCUCCCCCAUCCCUCAAGUAGGUGAGUCUGGACUUUCUGUAGAGUGAAAUGGACUUGAGCUUUCAAGGCAAAUGUCCUUGGAUUCAAAUCCCAACUCUGCUGUUGACCAGACAGCCCCUUCAUGUCCUCAAUCUAUGAAAUACAAAAUAAGAAAACUUACCAGUUAAAGCCCAUUUUGGUUACCAUUAACCUGCUUUCUUUGCAG